UUAAAAAGCUCGUAGUUGGAUCUCGGACAGGUAGGGGGCGGUUCGUUUCUGACGCACUGCCCCAUUUACCUGUGUUUUUGACGGAGGUCUCAGGGUGCUCUUUACCGAGUGUCCUGAUACGCCGUCAGGUUUACUUUGAAAAAAUUAGAGUGCUCAAAGCAGGCUACAAGCUUGAAUAUUUGUGCAUGGAAUAAUGGAAUAGGAAGUCGUUUCUAUUUUUUUUGGUUUUCGGAAAUGACUUAAUGAUUAAUAGGGACAGCCGGGGGCAUUAGUAUUCAGACGACAGAGGUGAAAUUCUUGGACCGUUUGAAGACUAACUACUGCGAAGGCAUUUGCCAAGAGUGUUUUCAUUAAUCAAGAACGAAAGUU
rnacentral:rRNA from 1 species